CAAGAGAGCGCGAAACCGUUAGGAGGGAAGUGCAGGGCAGCGAGCGGAAGGCCCUCGGUGAAAUUCAGCCGUCUGCCGGCUGCCGACGGUGGGUAGUCGGCGGCGGUGCACUUUUCGCCGGGGCACGUCAGUGGCGAUCGUUUCCGCCCCUCGAGGCGGUGGAGGUUUGCCUCCUCGGAGGCCAGGUGACCGGGACGAUUUCGGUCGUCUCGGAGCGUAUACUCCGUCGUUGGGGGCGCGGAGGCGAUCGAGGAGUGGGUUCGUUCCGUAGGCGUCCAUUCGCCUGGAGCAAAGGCAGGUGCGGGCCAAAUUGUUUGGCCGGGCGGCCCGCGGCGUCCGGGAGUGUCGAACGAGUGCGGCCUCGUCUUCUCGGCAGGCGGCUCGUGCGACUGCUGUCGGCGUUCGGUGUCCGUCUCGCCCGCGCCUAGGUGACUGGCGUGGAGUCGUUGCCGUGCGU
rnacentral:rRNA from 1 species